rnacentral:lncRNA from 1 species
ACUAUUCUUACCUCAUCUUCUAGAGACUGUAUGGAACCUUACAAAUGAUGAUGGCAAAUCCUCCAGGACCCUAUUGAACGGUUCUCUCCCUUGCCUUUAAGUUCUUCUCCCCAGCUAGGGUUCACAGGGCUACUUUCCUGACAAUCGGGUGAAGCUGACUAUAUGACCUCAGAUCUACCCUUCUCUCUUCGAUGCCCUGUUCUGGGACUGCAGAGGCUGACUCAUGGAUUUCACUGAUGAGCUGUCUUGCUAUUCAGGUUCCAGGUGGAUUUGGCUGAUGGAAGGAGAGGGAAUCAAGGCCAUCAAGCUCCAGAUGAUCCUCAGUGAGGGAUACUGCUCUCUCAGUAUUCAAGAGUCACCCUUCCACAGAGAACCCCUAGACUGCCCAUCAGUGGAAUAUGGAGAGGUAAAAUCCUGCCCCUGUCUCCUUUUUGACCUGGCUGGAUACCAUUUUCACCAAGAGAUUCACUCACAGAGUCACCCUGCCUUGACAGCUAGCAAGAGGCCAAGACCCACAGAACAAUGA